rnacentral:rRNA from 1 species
UACAGAGGUCCCAAGCGUUGUUCGGAUUCACUGGGCGUAAAGGGCGCGUAGGUGGCGGGGUAAGUCUGAUGUGAAAUCUCCGAGCUUAACUCGGAAACUGCAUCGGAUACUGCCUUGCUCGAGGGUUGGAGGGGGGACUGGAAUACUUGGUGUAGCAGUGAAAUGCGUAGAUAUCAAGUGGAACACCAGUGGCGAAGGCGAGUCCCUGGACAACUCCUGACACUGAGGCACGGAAGCUAGGGGAGCAAACAGG